GACGGAGGAUGCAAGUGUUAUCCGGAAUCACUGGGCGUAAAGCGUCUGUAGGUGGUCAAAUAAGUCAACUGUUAAAUCUUGAGGCUCAACCUCAAAAUCGCAGUCGGAACUAUUAGACUAGAGUAUAGUAGGGGUAAAGGGAAUUUCCAGUGGAGCGGUGAAAUGCGUAGAGAUUGGAAAGAACACCGAUGGCGAAGGCACUUUACUGGGCUAUUAAUAACCCUGAGAGACGAAAGCUAGGGUAGCAAAUGGG
rnacentral:rRNA from 1 species